ACACCGCCCGUCACACCACGAGAGUUUGUAACACCCGAAGUCGGUAGGGUAACCUUUAUGGAGCCAGCCGCCGAAGGUGGGACAGAUAAUUGGGGUGAAGUCGUAACAAGGUAGCCGUAUCGGAAGGGGCGGCUGGAUCACCUCCUUUCUAAGGAA
rnacentral:rRNA from 1 species